rnacentral:tRNA from 1 species
ACUAUUUUGACAGAAAAAAUGUGAUGGUUUUAGAAAUCAUAAAUAUAUAGUAAUUAUAUAUGUAGUA